rnacentral:rRNA from 1 species
CCUACGGGAGGCUGCAGUGGGGAAUAUUGCACAAUGGGGGGAACCCUGAUGCAGCGACGCCGCGUGAGUGAAGAAGUAUUUCGGUAUGUAAAGCUCUAUCAGCAGGGAAGAAAAUGACGGUACCUGACUAAGAAGCCCCGGCUAACUACGUGCCAGCAGCCGCGGUCAUACGUAGGGGGCAAGCGUUAUCCGGAUUUACUGGGUGUAAGGGGAGCGCAGACGGCUGUGCAAGUCUGGAGUGAAAGGCGGGGGCCCAACCCCCGGACUGCUCUGGAAACUGUAAAGCUGGAGUGCAGGAGAGGUAAGCGGAAUUCCUAGUGUAGCGGUGAAAUGCGUAGAUAUUAGGAGGAACACCAGUGGCGAAGGCGGCUUACUGGACUGCAACUGACGUUGAGGCUCGAAAGCGUGGGGAGCAAACAGGAUUAGAUACCCUAGUAGUC